ensembl:rRNA 5S_rRNA 5S ribosomal RNA
UUCUAUGGCCACAGAACACUGACUGCACCAUAUCUCAUCUGUUCUUGGAAGCUAAGCAGGGUCAGUCCUGGUUAGUACUUGGAUGGGAGUUCCAAAUUUCAGUCCACUGGGUAACUCCAUGCCUUCAAAGCAG